rnacentral:rRNA from 1 species
CGUUGGUGAACCAGCGGAGGGAUCAUUACCGAGUUUACAACUCCCAAACCCCUGUGAACAUACCUUAUGUUGCCUCGGCGGAUCAGCCCGCGCCCCGUAAAAAGGGACGGCCCGCCGCAGGAACCCUAAACUCUGUUUUUAGUGGAACUUCUGAGUAUAAAAAACAAAUAAAUCAAAACUUUCAACAACGGAUCUCUUGGUUCUGGCAUCGAUGAAGAACGCAGCAAAAUGCGAUAAGUAAUGUGAAUUGCAGAAUUCAGUGAAUCAUCGAAUCUUUGAACGCACAUUGCGCCCGCCAGUAUUCUGGCGGGCAUGCCUGUUCGAGCGUCAUUUCAACCCUCAAGCCCAGCUUGGUGUUGGGAGCUGCAGUCCUGCUGCACUCCCCAAAUACAUUGGCGGUCACGUCGAGCUUCCAUAGCGUAGUAAUUUACAUAUCGUUACUGGUAAUCGUCGCGGCCACGCCGUUAAACCCCAACUUCUGAAUGUUGACCUCGGAUCAGGUAGGAAUACCCGCUGAACUUAAGCAUAU